CCGCGCGCGCCCGCCCCGGGAGGAGGGUGCGCGGCGGAGGCGCGGGGGGGGGGGGGGGAGUCGAGGAGGGGCCGCGCCCGGUCCUCGCCCGCAGCGGGCACCGCCGGGGGCCCCGGGAGGCCUUGUUGGUAUUCCGGGCACAGCAGAAGCCCUGACCUCCCCGCGGAACAGGGGCGCCCGGGAGCGCGGCGCGGCCGCCGCCCCCGGGCGGUCUCCCCGGACUGCGGGGCCGUAGGCGCCUUGCUCCCCCUCCUCCCUGUCCCCUCCUCUCCAGGUCCCCCGUACCCCCUCCCCCGGCCUGAUCCGGCGGCGAAGGGGUGGGCAGGGAAACGCGCUCUCUGGGACAGGUGCCAACUCCGAGACAAAAGACAUAAAAUAGGCGGCAACGGGGGAAGCGCGGCCGGCGCGCUCGGGCGGGGACGGAGGCGCCGCGGGGGCCGCAUCCUCGGUGCCGACCGGGGAAAGUUUGGGAAGUCGCCGCGGCGGCUUCGCAGCGGCGGGGGACACGCGGGCCGGGCCGCCCUCCGCGCCGCGCUCGCCCUCUCCGCGCCGCUGCUGAAUAAUUCAUGGCGCGGCCGCCGGCCAUUAGCAUGCACCGGGCGCGCGGCGCGUCUGUGCCCAGCCGUCGCCGCCGCAUUCGGCGCCCCGGCCGCGCUAGACGAGCGGCCGCGCAGAGGCCGGGCCCGCGCCGUCCCCGCGCUCGCCCGCCCGUCCGCCCGUCCGCCCACCCGGCGGCUCCCAUUGUGCCCCAGGCCCGCGCCGCUCCGCCGUCCUGUGACCGCCUGCGCCCCGCAGCGCGCCCGACGGCCGGCCGCUGGAAGUUCGGGCCCGCGGCGCACGCCCUGCCGCCCCGGGAUGCACGUGAACUUGGAGAAAGUCUCGGGGCGCGCCGGCGCAGACCUCCGCGGCAGGGCGUGGGCGCCCCUGGCCCCGCGCGCUUUCGUUUUCGUCUGGGACAAAGGUCCCUCGCGGCGCAGGUCGCGGACGUGGAGGCAGUGCCCUGCGGGCCACUCAGCGGGGAGGUCCGGUCGUUCAGUCAAGGGAAGCCGGAGCCUGGAGAAGACGAGCCGCGCGGUCGGAGGCGCGGUGCGGGACCAGGACAGUGGGGCCUGGCCGUGCGCUUCGCCCUGGCGGUCCAGGAGCUGUCUCGCCCUCCGAAGAGUUACGGGAGGUGGCACUGCUUUUGCUCUCUGCCCUUUCGACACGUGAAGGAGAGAAUCAUUCGGAACCCAGGACUCAGACCGGUGGCCGAGGGCCUGUGCAGCCGCGAGCACGACAGCGCAGCGCUGGCCGCGUCCGCGCGCGUUCCUCCGACAAGGGCAGAGCAGUCGACCAGCGCGCCCCAGUCUCGAUCGGGUUCAAGGCGACUCUUGAGGACGGUGGCUGACACACGGGCCCAGCCGGCAGCCCUGGGGAAUUUGUGGGGAGCAAGAAAGGGGUGA
rnacentral:lncRNA from 1 species